UUAUGAAUAAACAUUACCCCCGGUAGAAAAUUAUCCAUAUCGGGUAUAAUAAGUUUAUCCUUUCAGUACUCCGUUAUGGAUAAACAUUGCUCUCAAUAGAAGAUUAUCCAUAUCUGGUAUAGUAACAACUUACACAACAACUUCAUUUCUUCUAUAAAUAGAAGAGAUUUCAGUUCAUUAUGUACAUCAGUUUGAAUCGAAUAAUAUAUCAGUUUCUCUCUAUACUUGUCUUUACUUUAUAGUCUUUAUUUUACAACACGUUAUCAGCACGAGACUCUGCCAUCUCGAGCAAAUAUUUUGAGAGUAUCUAAGGUAAGAACUUUCUUUUAAUAAAUAAUGUCAAAUCUUUCUAAACUUGAAUUUGUAGCCCUGGAUAUAUCGGGCAAAAGCUACAUGUCUUGGGUGCUUGAUGCUGAAAUUCAUCUUGAUGCGAUGGGUCUGGCAGAUACCAUCAAAGACAAAAAUCAGGCAUUAAACCAAGACCGUGCCAAAGCAAUGAUAUUCCUACUCCAUCACCUUGAUGAGGGCCUGAAAAUGGAAUAUCUUACUGUUAAAGAUCCAGUCAUACUGUGGAAUAAUUUGAAAGAUAGAUAUGAGCACCUGAAGAUGGUCGUUCUUCCACAGGCACGAUAUGAUUGACUCAUCUAAGGCUACAAGAUUUUAAAUCUAUCAGUGGGUAUAAUUCUGCUAUGUUCAGAAUUAUUUCCCAAUUGAAGUUAUGUGGUGAUAAUAUUGCUGAUCAUGAUAUGUUGAAGAAAACUUUCACCAUUUUUCAUGCCUCGAAUAUGCUCCUGCAGCAGCAAUAUCGAGAGAUGGGAUUUAAAAAGUAUUCUAAACUUAUCUACAUCUUCUUAUAGCCGAGCAACAUAAUAGGCUAUUAAUGAAAAAUCAUGAAAGCAGACCUAAUGGUUCUUGUCCAUUCCCUGAAGUGAAUGAGACGAACUUCCACCAGGCUAAACGUGGAAAAGGUCGUGGCCCCAGUCAUGGUCGUGGUCGGGAAAGAAACUCUAAUCAUGAUAAUAAUAAUGCACCAAAGAACACUCCUCACCACCAGCAGUGGAAAAGGAAGGAACAAAAGCAUGAAGCGGUGCAAACACUAAAUGCAG
rnacentral:lncRNA from 1 species